AUUUAUAUAGUUUAAUUAAAACAUUACAUUUUCACUGUAAAAUAAAAUCUUUUUUUAUAAAUA
rnacentral:tRNA from 1 species